AAUAUCAAAAACAAACUAACUAUUAAAAAGAAGACAUACGGAGAAAAGAGUCUUUAAACAAACGUUACAAGGUCUUAAAUGUCUCUAGGAAGACACAUAUCUCAUAUCGAUUCUUUAAAUUCUUUUAUUUUUAUGACCAAUGGGGAUGGUCUUAGGAAUAUAAUAUCGCAAUGUUGACCAAUAACCAAUAAUAUUAAUGUAAUUUCGCAAUAUAGUCUAUUAUUUUUAUUUUUAUCUUAU
rnacentral:sRNA from 1 species